rnacentral:rRNA from 1 species
UACGUAGGGAGCAAGCGUUAUCCGGAAUUAUUGGGUGUAAAGGGUGCGUAGACGGAGAAACAAGUUGGUUGUGAAAUCCCUCGGCUCAACCGAGGAACUGCAACCAAAACUAUUUCCCUUGAGUGUCGGAGAGGAAAGUGGAAUUCCUAGUGUAGCGGUGAAAUGCGUAGAUAUUAGGAGGAACACCGGUGGCGAAAGCGGCUCUCUGGCCUGUAACUGACACUGAGGCUCGAAAGCGUGGGGAGCAAACAGG